CAUCCCACGGAAACGCGCACGCGCGCACAGCACGUAUUCUCGCUCUCCUCCUCCACAGCCGCGCCGCCGAACGCCGCGAAAAAGCUAAAGCAAGCCGAUAUGCCGUUGCCGCUCAUGUCCUCGCUGUCAUCCGCCGCGGGAGUCAUGAAAAGCAUCGCACCAACGGCCAGCGCACCAGAGCCGUCCUUCGCGUCGUUUGUGCUAGAGCGUGUCUCGCGCAACCCGUUCCUGAUUGGUGAGACGCCCCGCUCUCUGCGCCCUCCACCAUCGCAACCGGCUGCAACGGAGGAUGCACUGUCGAUACCCAGCGCGCUAGAUGCAGCACAGCGCGCGGUGAUCGCGCAGGCAAGCACCUCUGGCACAGCCGCGACGUCAAGCCCGGCGUCUGCGCUGGCGGUGACGGCGGUGCUGCAGCGGGCCCUUAUCGACGCGCCUCUGCUCCCAGUUGGCGGCUGUCACCUCCUGCACGAGCACGUCUGGACUCACUUUCUCGCGAGUGCAGAGGCGGCGAAGCAGGUGGGCUGCUACCGCAAGGCGCUGCAGCUGUGCAAGGUGCGACAAGCAGAACCCGGCACGGGGGUGAACGCGCCACUGCAGGAGCAGCCGCAGGCGCCCCGCACGGAGGCGACGGCGUCCACUUGUGAUGGAGCGCUGAGCAGUACAACACGAGGCGCUGCCGUUGACCUGUUCGCCGCCUCGCCGCUUGCGUCUUCGCCGACCGAUAACCAGCAGCGAAGCUAUCAAGGCGGCGUGGGUCUUCUCCAGACACCAGAAGAGCUGAGUCUGGCCUUGACUGAAGAUGCCCUGCAGGCAAACAUAGAGCAGGCGCUCACGCGACUCGCGGGGUCUCGGGAAGAGCUGCAGCGGGGCUUGGCGAAGCUGCGCCGGCUCUUGGACGGCCUGCGCGCGUACGACGCGGUGCCGUUCGAGGAGCUGGCACGACAGGAACAGGAGGCGGUACGUCGCCUCUUCGCACCUGUAGCAGCGACGGCGGCGGAUGGUAGUGCGCGUAGCAACACCGAUACGAGUAGCAGCAGCGCCGUUCUCGCGACGGGUGCUGCUGCCGCUGUGGAACGGGUUGCGCAGGCAGUGCUUGGUGAAGCAAACAUGCUGGCGGAUCGAAAGCGGUCACGUGAGGGGUAGUAUGCCCUCUUCUUCUGGGCAGCGCGUGAGCCGUGAGUGCUGGUAGGCUGAGGUGCAAGCCGAAGUGGCUCGAUCUCAUGGAAAGCGCAGCGAGACGAAGAGGGGGGCGAGUGUGUCAGCACCGUUACCGCUCUUAUCGUUUAACAGAGCAAACAUCCCGCCCCCUGGAGCGCCGUUCGCACCCACACUUUCUCUCUGUCCCCUGUGGGUGUGUGGGCGCGCACAGCUUUACCCUAGCCCCCUCCCCCUCCAACCCACGUCAGCACACGCACACGCGCACAGAACACAUCCUCCCCCCCUGCCGUGCUUCGCUGUCCAUAACCUUCGUAAGGAACGGCGCCUGCCGUCAUCUAUCGCUGUCGAGACACUCAACCUCAUUGCGUACGCGUGUUGUUGUUGAGGUUCGUGCGUGUAUUAGGCCUGGAAGCCGUCGAGGCACACACACCUCUCAGUGCGUGGUAUUCCAGGGUCCGGUGUACCCCCCCCCAAUCUGUGUGUGUGUGGGGGGAAGGCGGGCCAAGCAGAGCCCACCCCCCUUCAUCCCCGCCAACGCCGCAACGCCCCUGGCCAUAGCAGGGUCAGGUCCUGGAUGGUGCCGCGACAGUGCGCGCGUCUGUGCCACCCAUGUGCUGGGCAGGGCGACCCGCGUGGGUCGUGUGUGUCUCCCUCGGGCCCCCGCUGUCCACCGGUGGGUGGCCCCGAGGCGACCUGCGAGGCGGAGGGGUGGGAGGGCAGAGUGUGAGGGGCAGGGGGGCCGCGCGCUCAGCCGACCGAGUCGGCACACGGCCGUCACACACGUGUGUCUGCAGCUGCUUGGAUUGUGUUACGCGGCGGAGAAGCGAACGCAACGCAGGAUUCCUGAUGAGGUGGCAGCGGGUUGUUGCCCAAGCCAACAUAUGCACGCAUGUCUAACGUGCCCUAGUCCGGCCCCAACGCAUCCAUGCCGUCGUGCACCCCCCCCCCGCCAUCACCAUCUUCGCCUUCCUGCCGCCCCUUCGCCUCUCCCCUUCACCCCUGCGAGCCUGCGAGCGCGCUGGCUCCUGCCUCCAAG
rnacentral:misc_RNA from 1 species